UUUGUGAAGGAACCUCUCUAAACAUGACGACGGGAGUUAGAUGUUAGAUGUAGAGAAGCAUGUUCAUUAUGCGGGUGAUGCUUAGCCUGUUUCCUCUGGUUCUUGUGGUCUGGAAUGGUGAGGAACCAGAAGGACUUGAAGAAGGUGAUGAAAGAUAAGGCUGAGCUGAACCUCACAAGUGAAGAACUAGCUGACCCUGAUUUUCUGGGAGAGAAGUCUGUUUUUGACCAACCCCUCGAGAUAAAUCUCCUUGCUAGCUCUUCUUCUGGAAGACCUUCUCCUCGUGUUAGAACUGGAAAACAGAACAGACACAAAUGAGUCUGCUGAAAUCUACAGUCCUGCUUUUGCAGUUUAAUACACUGUAUUAAAAUCACUGUGUAUGCAUUGGC